ACGCUGGCGGCGUGCUUAACACAUGCAAGUCGAACGCUGAAGCCCAGCUUGCUGGGUGGAUGAGUGGCGAACGGGUGAGUAACACGUGAGUAACCUGCCCUCUUCUUUGGGAUAACGCCCGGAAACGGGUGCUAAUACUGGAUAUUCACUGGCCUUCGCAUGGGGGUUGGUGGAAAGGUUUUUUCUGGUGGGGGAUGGGCUCGCGGCCUAUCAGCUUGUUGGUGGGGUGAUGGCCUACCAAGGCUUUGACGGGUAGCCGGCCUGAGAGGGUGACCGGUCACAUUGGGACUGAGAUACGGCCCAGACUCCUACGGGAGGCAGCAGUGGGGAAUAUUGCACAAUGGGCGAAAGCCUGAUGCAGCGACGCCGCGUGAGGGAUGGAGGCCUUCGGGUUGUAAACCUCUUUCGCUCAUGGUCAAGCCGCAACUGUGGGUUGUGGUGAGGGUAGUGGGUAAAGAAGCGCCGGCUAACUACGUGCCAGCAGCCGCGGUAAUACGUAGGGCGCGAGCGUUGUCCGGAAUUAUUGGGCGUAAAGGGCUUGUAGGCGGUUGGUCGCGUCUGCCGUGAAAUCCUCUGGCUUAACUGGGGGCGUGCGGUGGGUACGGGCUGACUUGAGUGCGGUAGGGGAGACUGGAACUCCUGGUGUAGCGGUGGAAUGCGCAGAUAUCAGGAAGAACACCGGUGGCGAAGGCGGGUCUCUGGGCCGUUACUGACGCUGAGGAGCGAAAGCGUGGGGAGCGAACAGGAUUAGAUACCCUGGUAGUCCACGCUGUAAACGUUGGGCACUAGGUGUGGGGGCCACCCGUGGUUUCUGCGCCGUAGCUAACGCUUUAAGUGCCCCGCCUGGGGAGUACGGCCGCAAGGCUAAAACUCAAAGGAAUUGACGGGGGCCCGCACAAGCGGCGGAGCAU
rnacentral:rRNA from 1 species